UGACUAAUUAUGUAUACAUUCCAAUCAGAACUGACUAGUCCAAAUGCUAUAAUGUACUGUACAUAUGAAUAUUCUCUCUUGCUCCCAUUCCCAAUUGUAUAUAAUGUAGUCAGGAUUUAGUAACAAUGAAGGUCUGUUCCUUAGUUCAUUCAGUUGUACAAUCUCCAGGUGGCAGGAACGGCCGAUCUCCAGACUGUCUAGAAUGCUGAUUUAUACUGACUGACCUUGACUUCGUGCUGAUAACGCGAAGGCUCGAGAGCUAGAGAGCCCCUCUACUGGUGAAAUAGAUAGAACGUUUAGAAAACGCUGAUGUCAUUUUCAGUUUAUAACCUGUGGAAAUAUGUGUAUGUGGCAGUACUCUCUUGCAAUAAACGCUGUUACCUGGC
ensembl:lncRNA